rnacentral:rRNA from 1 species
UACGUAGGUGGCAAGCGUUAUCCGGAUUUAUUGGGUUUAAAGGGUGCGUAGGCGGCUUGUUAAGUCGAUGGUGAAAGGUAGCAGCUUAACUGUAUACAUGCUGUCGAUACUGGCGAGCUUGAGUAAUUUGGAGGCAAGUAGAAUUUCGGGUGUAGCGGUGAAAUGCAUAGAUACCCGGAGGAAUACCGAUUGCGAAGGCAGCUUGCUACGAAUUUACUGACGCUGAUGCACGAAAGCGUGGGGAUCAAACAGG